rnacentral:rRNA from 1 species
UACGGAGGGGGCUAGCGUUGUUCGGAAUUACUGGGCGUAAAGCGCGCGUAGGCGGACCUGCAAGUCGGGGGUGAAAGCCCGAGGCUCAACCUCGGAACUGCCUUUGAUACUGAAGAUCUUGAGUUCGGGAGAGGUGAGUGGAACUGCGAGUGUAGAGGUGAAAUUCGUAGAUAUUCGCAAGAACACCAGUGGCGAAGGCGGCUCACUGGCCCGAUACUGACGCUGAGGCACGAAAGCGUGGGGAGCAAACAGG